GAUGAACGCUAGCGGCAGGCCUAAUACAUGCAAGCUGAACGGUAAAUGUUAUAGCAAUAUGAUAUGAGAGUAGCGUAAGGGUGCGUAACACGUAUGCAAUCUGCCCGCAACAGGAGGAUAGCUCCCCGAAAGGGGAAUUAAUACUCCAUAAUACCACGAGAGGGCAUCUGAUUGUGAUUAAACUCCAAGGGGUUGCGGAUGAGCAUGCGUCUGAUUAGUUAGUUGGUGAGGUAACGGCUCACCAAGACGAUGAUCAGUAGGGGAACUGAGAGGUUGAUCCCCCACACUGGCACUGAGAUACGGGCCAGACUCCUACGGGAGGCAGCAGUAGGGAAUAUUGGUCAAUGGGUGAGAGCCUGAACCAGCCAUGCCGCGUGCAGGAAGACGGCCUUCUGGGUUGUAAACUGCUUUUGUCAGGGGAUAAAAUACCCGUGCGCGGGGAAUUGAAGGUACCUGAUGAAUAAGCCACGGCUAACUACGUGCCAGCAGCCGCAGUAAGAC
rnacentral:rRNA from 1 species